AGUGAACGCUGGCGGCGUGCCUAAUACAUGCAAGUCGAACGAAUUGGCGCCCGGGUGUGUAAUAUAUAGUUAAUCUGCCCUACACAGAGUAACAACAGUUGUAAACGACUGCUCAUACCUCAUAGUGUAGGAUGAGACUAUAUCGUAUCAGCGAGUUGGUAAGGGAAUGGCUUACCAAGCCUAUGACGGGUAACUGGUCUGAGAGGAUGAUCAGUCACAUUGGAACUGAGACACGGUCCAAACGCCUACGGGAGGCAGCAGUAAGGAAGAUUGCGAAAUGGGGGAAACCCUGACGGAGCAACGCCGCGUGGAGGAUGAAACUUUUCGGAGCGUAAACGCCGUUUAUCAGGAAAGCGGUACCUGAUGAAUAAGCACCGGCUAACUCCGUGCCAGCAGCCGCGGUAAUAC
rnacentral:rRNA from 1 species